ensembl:lncRNA novel transcript
GCUGUGCGGAGCUGGGGGAGGAGGAGGGAGCCCUGGGGGACAGACAGAAGGACCAUCGAAGGAGAAACCCUGCUGGCCUCGGGACCUGGAGGAAAGAACCAGGGCCCGUGCUCCUUGGGCCAGGAUCCGGCGAUUGGACGGAACCUCUCGGAUUCCCCAGUGCUGUGAAAUCCACUUGGGGCCAUCACACCCUUCAUUGCUGUGCUCCCUGGCAGAACUCGAAUGCAGCGUGAGCUGGGCACUUUUCCCAGGGUUUGCUCUAGGUCUGGGUCUCCCAUCAGCUCCCCCGGAGCAGAGCCUGAGAUGUCUUAGAGGAUAAAAAUGAGCGGGCAGAUGAAGAGAUACUCAGGGUGAGGUUUGGAAGGUGCACCAGGCCCACCCCAUGGAUGUGGCUCAGAGAGCCUGGGAAACGUGAGGUCUGUGACCUGGAUCAGGCCCAGAGAGACCUGAGCAGGAGGCGUGUGAAGCCCCUGCGCCUGUGCGAGGAGGGAAGCUGUUUCAGGGAAUUUGCCUUUCUUUCCCUGUAGUUUCAGACUAGCUGAUAAAUUACCUAAAAUGUUACCACAAGAUGCACAAUGUAACCAUCACUCAUUA